GGACCUUAAUGUAGACCAAUUUGAAAACGGGACCAAAACUUAAGAAUCUACAUACACAGUUAGAUUCGGCAUAUCAAAGAACCCCAAUUAUUCAAUUUUUGAUGAAAUCAAACAAAGUUCAAUUUUGGACACUUUGGGCCCCUUAUUCCUAAACUGUUGGGACCAAAACUCCCAAAAUCAAACCCAACCUUCCUUUUAUGGUCAUAAACCUUGUGUUUAAAUUUCAUAGAUUUCUACUUACUUAUACUAAAGUUAUAGUGCGAAAACCAAGAAUAAUGCUUAUUUGGGCCCCUUUUUGGCCCCUAAUUCCUAAACUGAUGGGACCUCAACUCCCAAAAUCAAUCCCAACCUUCCUUUUGUGGUCAUAAACCUUGUGUUUACAUUUCAUUGAUUUCUAUUUACUUAUACUAAAGUUACUGUGCGAAAACCAAGAAUAAUGCUUAUUUGGGCCCUUUUUUGGCCCCUAAUUCCUAAACUGUUGAAACCAAACAUCCCAAAAUCAAUCCCAACCUUCCUUUUGUGGUCAUAAACCUUGUGUCAAAAUUUCAUAGAUUUCUAUUUACUUAAACUAAAGUUAUAGUGCGAAAACCAAGAAAAUGCUUAUUUGGGCCCUUUUUGGCCCCUAAUUCCUAUAAUAUUG
rnacentral:lncRNA from 1 species